rnacentral:misc_RNA from 1 species
AAAAAACGAGAUCGUAAAAGCCAUUUGUUCUCUUUUUCCGAUCACCGGUAGUUACAUUUUCCUCUCCUUUCACGGCGGAACGCGGCGGCGGUGGUGGAUGGCAAGAACCAAUAAAUAUACCUCCCUUAACUUUAACGACAUCUACGAGAAGAAAACUACUCCCAACUCCGCCACCUCUGGUAAAUCAAACUCUUCUUCGUCGUCGUCGUUCGAUAGUCGUAACAAGACUAUUAUCUCCAACUCUCGUAUCCAUGGACAUAUGCUUGUUCUGAGCCGGCCUACUCCAAAGCCAAUCGCUAUUCCACAAACCCAGCCUAUUCCGAUCCAGCAACAACCAAAGUUACAAAGCCCGAGCGCACCGGAUCAAAUCCGAGCUGGAGCUGGAGCUGGAGCUGAAUCUGACUCUAUCUCGCUUCGUCCACAAGGCCGUACUGGGGCUGGACCCACCACCACCACCUCACUUUCAUCAUCUCCUGUGAAUCCGCCUUCACCUUUGCAGUCGCCUUUGCCAAAGUCGAACCGGUUCGUGCCCCCACAUCUGAGACCGGGAUUUGUAGGCAGGGAGGAGAAACCGGUGCCGGAUGUUGCGAAGGGUGGUCAGGGAGUGAGGACUAGACCGGAGGUUGGGGGUGGUCAGCAUUAUCAUCAGGGAUAUCUUGGGUCGUCACCUAAUAGGUACGGAGACAACGGUAGGCCGAAAUCUGGAGGUGGGUAUGAUCGAAUGAGGAGAGGAUUUAGUGAAGCUGAUUCUGUGAACUUUGUGAACCGGCCUAGUUCUAGCGGAGCUCGGCCCAACUCUAGUGGAUGAUGGCAUCAUGAUCCUGAUGGAGCUUAGCUCCCCUUUGCCGAUGAGGAUGGAGAGGUCUUUUCUGAGGCAAAUAGGCUUGCAAGAUCAGCUAUGGAUGGAUGUUAAUGGUUGUUGAAGUCAUGGAAGUAGGAUUAUGACCAGGUUGCUCCUUUUGUCUGCAGUAGUCCAGUAACCAGAUUAUGAGUUGCUGGUUUUAAACGAAGACGUUCAAGGAUCAAAGCUCGAUCAAAUUGUUUCUUUCAUUUACCGCCUUCUAAUUUUCUUUGCUUUCAUAUCUACCUUCUCUACUCUCUCAGGAAGAGAGAAGACUUGGAUGAAAUGUAGUGUAUUGUAUGUUUUACUCUAUGUUAUACUGUGCAACUACCAUAAAUUGGUGUAUUCUGAUGGUUUAAUACCACCAUCACCAUAUUGUAUUUCCAGACUUAUCUGUA